rnacentral:lncRNA from 1 species
GGGCAUGCAGCAACAACAACAGCAACAGCAAAAAAACGAGUGUGACAGUGAUCGUCUAGGGCAGGUCAUCAACGACGAUUCGAUAGCGCAUGCAACGUCGUCGUGCGGCGGGGAUAUCGAGCGUGUGGAUUGCCCAGCGCCGCUGAGCCGUAACGAGCGCCUCGGCCGUCUCAAUCAAAAAGAGACCACCGGUCGCACACUCGUGAUAGACGUGCACGUCCCGAGCGCGGUCGUCGCGAUGCCUCUUAAAGGUACCGUACAGGAGGCGCGCCAUCCGAUAGAGCCAUAAUAGGUCGACGUCGAGCGGCGGCACCGUCGCGAUGGUCACGUCGGCAACAUCGCCGUCGUCCUUUAUAACAAACUUGAUACAUUGCGCCCAUAGGAUGCGCCUCCAGCGGCGCGAUGGCCUUAUAGGGGUGUCAAAAAGGCAUGGCGGCGCGUCGUGGAUGGCUGAUGUCGAAGGCGACGUUGUCGGUGUCGAUGAUGCCGAGCGCGAUGACCUCGAUGAUGACACGGAUGAUCGGCACGAUGAUAUAGGUGAUGUGGGCGAUAUGGGUGGUGAUGACGAUGCCGAGGAUGGACUAGACGAGAGAGGACACGCGUGUGCACGGCGCGCAUGAACAGACGGCGAAAGGGACGAGACGGACCCGUGAGACCACGUUGUCCCCGGCGCGCGCAACAACUCCAAGGGCGACGCCAGAGGUGACGGCCCGAGAAUCGAUGACGGAGACGGCGGAGGCGAUGAUGCAGGCGGUGAGAUGGUCGAUGUUGUAGAUGAUGACGACGAUAGAGAGACGGAUGAAAAAGACAGGGAUGACGACAGCGAGAGUGACGACGACAGAGUCUCACGCGAUGAUGUGCUCCGAAGCGAGCGCGCCGAGGUCAACGGCGACGUGCGCUGCGGGAUCGAUUCGCCGUCGUCAUCCCUGCGGUCGGUGCGGUGGGACCUGGCCCACGAGGCCAAGUUGCGCCACACCGACCGCGGGGAGCGGGCAACCGAUGACGUCGACGACCGGUUGGUGGCGCGUUGACUAGACGUCGGCGACGGUUUGGUGUCGGUGUCCUCCUCGCCGGUCGACAGGCGGACUUGCGUGCUGGCUGGAUAGAACGCGCGGUGCCAAAAGCGUCGCCUGAUCGCUGCUGUCCCGUUUGUGUCGCGUUUGGCGGCGCGCGCGCAAAGUGCCUUGAUGGCGUUUUUUGUGUGACGGAGCAAAAGGUCGCGUCCCCAAUCGGAGCGAGAAAAGGCUGCUUGCCUGCCUCGCGCAAAAAAGCGCCCAAGCCAAGGAAAAAAAAUCGAAAAAAGGCAAACAAACACAACGGGCCGUGGGGUCCUCGGCGCGUCGCAAUGACCGGAAAAAAAGGGCUAUAGAAAAAAAAGGUGACGGCAAAAGGAGAAGCGGCGAUGCAAGCACACAGGGAGGAAAGCAGGUCGGUAAAAAAAAGAGUGUGUGCUCUUGCUAGGUUACGCGCCUAAAAGAGGCGUCCGUGCCUCGUGUGUAUGUGCGAGAAGAAGCCGAGAGGGACAAGAGGUCGUAUCAAGUGCCAAAACAACACCAACACAACUCGCCAAGCUGAACUUGACCGAGGCGGCGGCGGCCGACGGGUACAUGAUGUCGCGGUCCAAUCAAGGCGGGGCAAAUAGGGCACUGCGGCAGCGCGUUGACCGGUGGCCUUUGUUGCCGCGGAAAAAGGAGACGGCGCCGGCGGUGGGCGCUUUCGUGUCGCCACACCAUCGCGGUUUAGCAUCUGCACGCAGCAAACACGCAACGGUGGACUCGUGACCGAAGACGCACGCAGCAAACACGCAACGGUGGACUCGUGACCGAAGACGCACGCGGCAUACGCGCGCGCUCAUUUUCAUUUUUUUUUCGCACCAUUUUUCUCUACACUAAAACGCCCCGUCGGUGGUAUCCCCUUUUUUUUAUUGGCGAGCAGGCGCCGACCGCCAAGAGGCGAAAAAUAGAGAGAACGGCCAGAGCGACG